UUACGGCAUGGCCUACACAGAGAUUUUGUACCUGGUAGUCCAUGCCGUAAACGUUGGGCACUAGGUGUGGGGACCAUUCCACGGUUUCCGCGCCGCAGCUAACGCAUUAAGUGCCCCGCCUGGGGAGUACGGCCGCAAGGCUAAAACUCAAAGGAAUUGACGGGGGCCCGCACAAGCGGCGGAGCAUGCGGAUUAAUUCGAUGCAACGCGAAGAACCUUACCAAGGCUUGACAUGUUCUCGAUCGCCGUAGAGAUACGGUUUCCCCUUUGGGGCGGGUUCACAGGUGGUGCAUGGUUGUCGUCAGCUCGUGUCGUGAGAUGUUGGGUUAAGUCCCGCAACGAGCGCAACCCUCGUUCCAUGUUGCCAGCACGUCGUGGUGGGGACUCAUGGGAGACUGCCGGGGUCAACUCGGAGGAAGGUGAGGACGACGUCAAAUCAUCAUGCCCCUUAUGUCUUGGGCUUCACGCAUGCUACAAUGGCCGGUACAAUGGGUUGCGAUACUGUGAGGUGGAGCUAAUCCCAAAAAGCCGGUCUCAGUUCGGAUUGGGGUCUGCAACUCGACCCCAUGAAGUCGGAGUCGCUAGUAAUCGCAGAUCAGCAACGCUGCGGUGAAUACGUUCCCGGGCCUUGUACAC
rnacentral:rRNA from 1 species